CCGAAUCGUCGACACGAGUUGUUGCUGGUCCUCGAAUGGGGGCAUGUGCACGCUCUGUUCACACACAUCCACUCACACCUGUGCACACUCUGUAGUUCUGUGGCUUGAGGACCCUGUCCUCUCGCUGCGGUUCUAUGUCUUUACACACACACUGUAAUAGAGUCUCAUGGAAUGUACGUCGCGUCUAACGCAAUAAAAUA
rnacentral:misc_RNA from 1 species